AGCGAACGCUGGCGGCAGGCUUAACACAUGCAAGUCGAGCGGGCACUUUCGGGUGUCCGCGGCGGACGGGUGAGUAACGCGUGGGAACGUGCCCUCUGGUUCGGAAUAACUCAGGGAAACUUGAGCUAAUACCGGAUACGCCCUUUUGGGGAAAGGCUUGCUGCCGGAGGAUCGGCCCGCGUCUGAUUAGCUAGUUGGUGAGGUAACGGCUCACCAAGGCGACGAUCAGUAGCUGGUCUGAGAGGAUGAUCAGCCACACUGGGACUGAGACACGGCCCAGACUCCUACGGGAGGCAGCAGUGGGGAAUAUUGGACAAUGGGCGCAAGCCUGAUCCAGCCAUGCCGCGUGAGUGAUGAAGGCCUUAGGGUUGCAAAGCUCUUUUAUCCGGGACGAUAAUGACGGUACCGGAGGAAUAAGCCCCGGCUAACUUCGUG
rnacentral:rRNA from 1 species